ACACUGGGGCCCAUGGCUUUGGUGUCUAGAAAAGAAUGACAAUAAGGUCAGUACAGGGCAGGCUGGUCAGACCACCUUGAUGAAAAAAAAGACAAGAUGGGGCUUUCAUCACAAAAUGAGCACCACCCUUAGACUGUGCCCGUUUUCUUUUCUGAGAGAGUCACUUUUGUCUUAUCAGACCCAAUGUAGGAGUGGCAAAAAUGUGGAUCAAAAACGUUACAGACAGAGUCUAUGGCACAGGCAGGGAGGGCCGGGUGCAAAAACAACACAAAACAAAUGAACAAAAGGGAACCUGCAGCAAAAAUGAGGAGGGUCCCAGUGAGCUCCAAAUGCUUCCAGAGGGACCAGGAGUUCAAAAGGAGAGUUCUGGUCUCCCCUCCUCUCCCUGCUCUCUCCUUCCUCCCCAGCUCCACUUGGUGACCUGGGCAAGCAGAAGGAAGGGCUGCAGAGCGCCCGCUGGGGCAGCUACUGCCCUCAGGACACAGCAGAAGGUUUACCUGGAAAAGGCCCAGGGGAGACAAUGUUACAAAACCUGAUAAAUGUGCUGCACUUUGCUCGCAAACCCAAAGUCACCAGGGUGCAUGCUUUAGCUUCAUUAAUUGAAUAAACUAUACAGAAAUUACUGCCAUAAACAUUGAAAAGCACCCCAGAAACCGCUGUUCAAGAAGUUUACCUACACAAAUUAAGUCCUUGAGCAUAUGAUGCAAAAUAUUUACCUAAUUACAAGGGCGAGAGUCAAAAUGUUUAGUCACUAGUAAGUCUUGCCUACAGUUAAUCAGAAUGAGUCAUGAGUUCAGUAGAAUGGGCAUGAACCAUCAGAACAGGAAUCAAACAUAAGAACGGGAACCAAACAUCAGAACAAGCACCAACCAUCAGAACAGGAAUCAAACAUAAGAACGGGAACCAAACAUCAGAACAGGCACCAACCAUCAGAACAGGGGGUACCAACCAUCAGAACAGGAACCAACCAUCAGAACAGAAACCAACCAUCAGAAUAGGAAUCAACCAUCAGAACAGGACACCAACCAUCAGAACAGGAACCAACCAUCAGAACAGGACACCAAUCAUCAGAACAGGAACCAACCAUCAGAACAGGAACCAACCAUCAGAACAGGAACCAACCAUCAGAACAGAAACCAACCAUCAGAACAGAAACCAACCAUUAGAACAGGCACCAACCAUCAGAACAGGCACCAAUCAUCAGAAUGGGAACCAACCAUUGUAAUGGGCAUCAAGCAUCAGAAUAGGAACCAAACAUCAGAACAGGGCACCAAGCAUUAGAGUGGGCACCAAUGAUCAGAACAGGAACCAACCAUC
rnacentral:lncRNA from 1 species